GAUCAUGGCUCAGAUUGAACGCUGGCGGCAGGCCUAACACAUGCAAGUCGAGCGGUAACAGAGAGGAGCUUGCUCCUUUGCUGACGAGCGGCGGACGGGUGAGUAAUGCUUGGGAAUAUGCCUUUUGGUGGGGGACAACAGUUGGAAACGACUGCUAAUACCGCAUGAUGUCUACGGACCAAAGUGGGGGACCUUCGGGCCUCACGCCAAGAGAUUAGCCCAAGUGGGAUUAGCUAGUUGGUAAGGUAAUGGCUUACCAAGGCGACGAUCCCUAGCUGGUUUGAGAGGAUGAUCAGCCACACUGGGACUGAGACACGGCCCAGACUCCUACGGGAGGCAGCAGUGGGGAAUAUUGCACAAUGGGCGCAAGCCUGAUGCAGCCAUGCCGCGUGUGUGAAGAAGGCCUUCGGGUUGUAAAGCACUUUCAGUAAGGAGGAAAGG
rnacentral:rRNA from 1 species